GCUGGAGCAGCUCUUGGCUCCAAGGAUGUGUGUCCUGUCAGCAGAGCAGGUGGCUUGGGGUGCUGCAGGUUUGUAGUCCCCCAGUCAGAGUGGGUCUCUGAGCAUCACUGGGCUCUUGCUGCAGACCUGUGCUGGCUGUGGCCAGAUCCUUCACUCCUGCAUCCCACAUCUCUGCUGUGCUUCUAAAUCCUUGGGACUACAGCUUUUUCCCUGUGGGCAGCCUUUAGCAUCAAUAGGGCUUUUUUCUGCCAAGCUACUUUGAUCUACAACACAGACCACAGCUAGUUCUGAAGGAAGACGAGAUGCAGACUGACAGCCUCCAAGUCAGGCAGUAAGGGAGGUGACAAGGAGCGGGUGAAGAAAGUGGUUCUGCCUUGCUGGCAGGGUCUGAGCCUGGUCAUACCAACUGCCUUCAUCAUUUGUCCUUCACACCACUGUCAGCCAAACACUCCUGAUAGAAAGUCUCAACUUCAGUUCACCUGGAAAAAAUGUACCCAGUAGGAAGCCCUGUCCUAACAACCUAGGAUUUCAAGGGUAUCUCUUAUAAAGGUCUUGUAAAUCCCAUCUUCAAAUUUCUUGAAAUAUUAAUUUUCCUUUACCUACAUAGACCCUUUAUAACUGUGCUGUAAUAUUAUUAUUUAAUACCUAGCUUUUGUUUUUCUUCCUUUGAGAACCAGCAGGGACAAGUCUGUGUGUCGGUCUGAUAAAGAACCUUAGCUGUGCUACAAUGCAGGCACUGGGAAUUUCAUGUUCCAGAAUAGAGGUCUUUCCAGAGAAAUCUGUUUCAGAUGUGUCUGUGCACUCUUCAGCUGUGGUGGCCACUUAAUGAGUGAGGGUCUGAACUGUGGUGUCCUGAUAGUGGCUUUUCUGUCAUUGGAGCAGCUGUGAAUUGGAGCAGAAAUUGUUUCUUGUACCAUCGUUCCCAAGGCAGGCAGGCAAGUACUUGCUUGUCUUGAUGAGGCUGUGCCACAUGCGUUGUAUUAGCAUGCCAGAAUAAAUACACUUCAGGUACAGACAACAGUAAAAGGCUCUGUAAGUGUCACUGCAGGUAGGCAGAUGGGGAGGCUCGUGCUUCC